rnacentral:rRNA from 1 species
GAUGAACGCUAGCGGCAGGCUUAACACAUGCAAGUCGAGGGGUAUAGGUUUUCGGACCUAGAGACCGGCGCACGGGUGCGUAACGCGUAUGCAAUCUACCUUUCACAGAGGGAUAGCCCAGAGAAAUUUGGAUUAAUACCUCAUAGUAUAGCAGUUUCGCAUGAAACCACUAUUAAAGUAUCAACGGUGAAAGAUGAGCAUGCGUCCCAUUAGCUAGAUGGUAAGGUAACGGCUUACCAUGGCUACGAUGGGUAGGGGUCCUGAGAGGGAGAUCCCCCACACUGGUACUGAGACACGGACCAGACACCUACGGGAAGCAGCAGUGAGGAAUAUUGGUCAAUGGACGCAAGUCUGAACCAGCCAUGCCGCGUGCAGGAUGACGGUCCUAUGGAUUGUAAACUGCUUUUGUACGAGAAGAAACAACAUUACGUGUAAUGUCUUGACGGUAUCGUAAGAAUAAGGAUCGGCUAACUCCGUGCCAGCAGCCGCCGUAACAC